rnacentral:misc_RNA from 2 species
AACGCACAUUGCGCCCUCUGGUAUUCCGGAGGGCAUGCCUGUUCGAGCGUCAUUUAACGACAAUCAAGCCCCGCUUGGUGUUGGGUAUCCGUCCACCCCUGGACGGGCCCUAAAGUCCUUGGCGGUGGCCCCGAGCCUCAAGCGUAGUAGAACUCCUUCCCGCUUGCAGAGGCCUCGCGGUCGCCCGCUUCGAAAGACCCCAAAAUCAAAAUGUUGACCUCGGAUCAGGUAGGGAUACCCGCUGAACUUAA